rnacentral:rRNA from 1 species
AGCGAACGCUGGCGGCAGGCCUAACACAUGCAAGUCGAACGAACCUUUCGGGGUUAGUGGCGGACGGGUGAGUAACACGUGGGAACGUGCCUUUAGGUUCGGAAUAACUCAGGGAAACUUGUGCUAAUACCGAAUGUGCCCUUCGGGGGAAAGAUUUAUCGCCUUUAGAGCGGCCCGCGUCCGAUUAGCUAGUUGGUUGAGGUAAUGGCUCACCAAGGCGACGAUCAGUAGCUGGUCUGAGAGGAUGAUCAGCCACAUUGGGACUGAGACACGGCCCAAACUCCUACGGGAAGCAGCAGUGGGGAAUCUUGCGCAAUGGGCGAAAGCCUGACGCAGCCAUGCCGCGUGAAUGAUGAAGGUCUUAGGAUUGUAAAAUUCUUUCACCGGGGACGAUAAUGACGGUACCCGGAGAAGAAGCCCCGGCUAACUUCGUG